rnacentral:rRNA from 1 species
UGCAGUCGAGCGGUAGAGAGAAGCUUGCUUCUCUUGAGAGCGGCGGACGGGUGAGUAAUACCUAGGAAUCUGCCUGAUAGUGGGGGAUAACGUUCGGAAACGGACGCUAAUACCGCAUACGUCCUACGGGAGAAAGCAGGGGACCUUCGGGCCUUGCGCUAUCAGAUGAGCCUAGGUCGGAUUAGCUAGUUGGUGAGGUAAUGGCUCACCAAGGCUACGAUCCGUAACUGGUCUGAGAGGAUGAUCAGUCACACUGGAACUGAGACACGGUCCAGACUCCUACGGGAGGCAGCAGUGGGGAAUAUUGGACAAUGGGCGAAAGCCUGAUCCAGCCAUGCCGCGUGUGUGAAGAAGGUCUUCGGAUUGUAAAGCACUUUAAGUUGGGAGGAAGGGCAGUUACCUAAUACGUGACUGUCUUGACGUUACCGACAGAAUAAGCACCGGCUAACUCUGUGCCAGCAGCCGCGGUAAUACAGAGGGUGCAAGCGUUAAUCGGAAUUACUGGGCGUAAAGCGCGCGUAGGUGGUUUGUUAAGUUGAAUGUGAAAUCCCCGGGCUCAACCUGGGAACUGCAUCCAAAACUGGCAAGCUAGAGUAUGGUAGAGGGUAGUGGAAUUUCCUGUGUAGCGGUGAAAUGCGUAGAUAUAGGAAGGAACACCAGUGGCGAAGGCGACUACCUGGACUGAUACUGACACUGAGGUGCGAAAGCGUGGGGAGCAAACAGGAUUAGAUACCCUGGUAGUCCACGCCGUAAACGAUGUCAACUAGCCUUUGGGAGUCUUGAACUCUUAGUGGCGCAGCUAACGCAUUAAGUUGACCGCCUGGGGAGUACGGCCGCAAGGUUAAAACUCAAAUGAAUUGACGGGGGCCCGCACAAGCGGUGGAGCAUGUGGUUUAAUUCAAAGCAACGCGAAGAACCUUACCAGGCCUUGACAUCCAAUGAACUUUCUAGAGAUAGAUUGGUGCCUUCGGGAACAUUGA